rnacentral:rRNA from 1 species
GGCGAACGCUGGCGGCGUGCUUAACACAUGCAAGUCGAACGGAAAGGCCCUGCUUUUGUGGGGUGCUCGAGUGGCGAACGGGUGGGUAACACGUGAGUAACCUGCCCUUGACUUUGGGAUAACUUCAGGAAACUGGGGCUAAUACCGGAUAGGAGCUCCUGCUGCAUGGUGGGGGUUGGAAAGUUUCGGCGGUUGGGGAUGGACUCGCGGCUUAUCAGCUUGUUGGUGGGGUAGUGGCUUACCAAGGCUUUGACGGGUAGCCGGCCUGAGAGGGUGACCGGCCACAUUGGGACUGAGAUACGGCCCAGACUCCUACGGGAGGCAGCAGUGGGGAAUAUUGCACAAUGGGCGGAAGCCUGAUGCAGCAACGCCGCGUGCGGGAUGACGGCCUUCGGGUUGUAAACCGCUUUCGCCUGUGACGAAGCGUGAGUGACGGUAAUGGGUAAAGAAGCACCGGCUAACUACGUG